UACGAAGGGGGCUAGCGUUGUUCGGAAUUACUGGGCGUAAAGCGCACGUAGGCGGGUUGUUAAGUCAGGGGUGAAAUCCUGGAGCUUAACUCCAGAACUGCCUUUGAUACUGGCAACCUAGAGACUGGAAGAGGUUAGUGGAAUUCCCAGUGUAGAGGUGAAAUUCGUAGAUAUCGUAAGGAAGACCAGUGGCGAAGGCGGGUCUCUGGACAGUUCCUGACGCUGAGGCACGAAGGUCAGGGGAGCAAACGGG
rnacentral:rRNA from 1 species